CAGGAGGCCACAAAGAACAGAGAGGGUGAGGAUGAUUAACUGUCGUUUCUGCUCAUGUGGAGCCACGUUUAUGUGUUUCAUGUCUUCACAGUGAAAGGGGCUCCAGUCAGAAAUGGAGAGGAAGCCUCUGUGGACAGUCAGAACAGCGCCGGAGUGAUGGGAUGGCUCUCUAACGGCUUCGUCAGCGCUCUGCCGCAGCCUCCAGGCUCCCCUCUGGUCAACAGGGCCGGCUCAGAGGUCAAGUCAGGAGAGAAUGGAGAAAGGUCUGGCGUAAUGGGCUGGGUCGCUCAGGGCCUGACUAAAGUGCUGCCUCAGCCUGACGACAAAUACAAACAAGUGGUCGACUCCACCGAGGAGCACACGGAGGUGUACGAGGUCGCCACGAUGCCAGAUUUUGAUCCUCUCCCGCACAUCCCCGUGGUGGAGGUCGUGUCCGAGGAUGAGGCGCCAGAAGUGGAGAGUUUGACUCCUCAGUUUCCUCCCAAGGUGGUGAAAUGGAUGAAGCAGAUAAUCCCUCAGCCAGCCACUCUGCCCCCUGGCGCCAUUCCUGCAGAACCUGCACCCAAAGCAUCCCGCUCCUCCCUUGACAAAAUUCUGUCUCCACCACCUGAAUCCAUCAGUGGAAUCUCACUGGACACAGACAGCAAGUCCUCCAGCGUGGUGGACUGGUUUGUGUCAGGACUGGGUCUGAAGAUGCCUCAGCUUGUUGUUCCUCCCAAACACGAUGCUGAGGGUCCGGCUGAAGUGCUGCAGAAGGGUGAGUUGAGUUUUGAUCCACUUGUAGAUCUAGACCUGAUUUGUGUUUUCUUGCCACAGUUCACAGUUCAGUAA
ensembl:lncRNA